CACUCAGGCAUCAGCUGUCACACGCCGGGAGCCAUCAGGCCUCCCGGCCCCCUCCGGCUGCAGUCUCGGCCACAAGCCGCACACCGCAUCCACCCCCAGGAUGCACUCACUCUUGGGUUGGCGAUUCUGUACUCUUUGGGGGUAAUCGCCCAUCCCUCAGGGUUUUCUAUCUGUGGUCGCUCCAACACUCCAGCAUGCAGGCCCCUGCACUCAGGCCAACCCACUGCACAAGCACAUGGGUCGGGGAUCCGUGGAUGCAAGUCCACAUGCGGCCUCUCUUGGGUCCCCUCUUUGGCUGUGGGCUCCACCACAAGCCACGUUCCCUACCCAUCCCCCAAAGAUGGGCUCCUCAGCUCCUCCCCCUCACUCAACUAUGAGCAGGGCAUCACCCACAGGUGAUUUUAAAAGACUCACUGGCCUUUAGCUUACGUAGUGCUUAACAGCCGCUCAGGGCUUCCCGAACUUAGCACCAGCUUUUGCCUUCUCAGUUGGCUUUUCUCCUCUGCUUAGCUGCUGGGCAGUACACCGGCUGCCUUUGGCCACCAAGGCCCACUGACACCCCCAGACUCCCAUCUCUGGGGGUGGACAAUCCCAUCCUUCCUCAGGGUCCCAAAACAUAUCAAACUUGCCAAGGUCCUCCCCCUUCUGGCGGGAUUGUUAGUCCAUUAGUCCAAGUUCAUCGGCUUUUCCCUUUGUCCACACUGGGGAGCUCUGAGUCGUGGUCCUUUCUCCCCCGACGAUUCUUGCUGCCUAGGCGGGGAUUGUUGGCUGGUCCUCUCGGGCAUCUCCUCCUCCAGGCGAGGUCUCAUCCCGCAGCUCCCGGACUUUGCCCUUCCCCUGUCCCGCCAUGACACGUCCAGCGCUGUCACAGGCAAACACUGUCUGCUGCUCCUCAGUCCCUCCCGGUCUUCGGAGGGCUCCAUACCGGUCUGCAUGGAUCAUCUUGCUGACUUACACCAAUUGUAAGAGAGGAAGGAAUGGACACGGGGCAGGUUUUCUGAUCCAGCAGACUGGGUCCAGGAGAAGAGUGUCCUGGAAGCCUCAGUGGCUUUUGUAGGCUUUUAUUGGGAUUUACUGGAUACAUGGCAGGUAGGGGUGCUAGGGGGUCAGGAGGCUGGCAGGCCUCCCAGCCCCCAGCAAGUCUUCACUCUUUCUGGGCUCUCUGGCGUUCUCUGGUGGUCUCUGCUGCUCUGCUCUCUCGGUUCUGCUUACGUUUCUCUGCUUUUGCUGUGAAUGCCACCCUUAAAAGCCCGGUCUUAGCCCAGGUGAAUCCCAUCUACAUAUGCCCACACCCUACUCCAGGUGCCUGCAUCAGGCUUGCAUUCAGACCACAGGGUUCCCUCAUCUAUCCUAAAGGCGGGAGGGCAGAAAAGCCUGAUAGUUUUAUCUUUCCCUACAGUGUGGUUGUCCGGAGGGCUGGGCGGGCUGGGUGCUGGGCAGGCCGGCACUGCUGAGCCCCUGAGCCCGCUGUCUGGCCGAGGGCCAAUUUAUCGAGCUCAUGCAGGAGAAAGUGGGCUUACAGGACUGGAUAGAGGAGCUGGAGCAUCGAUGUAUCCAGAUGUCUGGAGAGACUGACACCAUCGGUGAGCAGGGAGGCUUGUGCCCUGCAGCUGGGGUGCUAUGCAGAGGCUGGGGAGACCCCAGCAGCUGAGCUGUCUGCGCGCCCUCCCCCUAGGAGAAUACAUCACUCUCUACCAGAACCAGAGAGCAGUGAUGAGGGAGGAGCACCAAGAGAAGGAGGAGUCCAUAAGCCAGCUGGCCCAGGACAAAGAGGAGAUGAAGGUGAAGUUGUUAGCGCUGCAAGAGCUGGUUUUGUGGCUGGUGGAGGUGCACAACGAAUGGCGGGCGAAGCCCUGAGCACCCGCCCAGAACCCUGCUGCUGAGCCCACUAGCGCAUGCCUAGUCCCCAAGAAGCUUGGCACCGCCAACGUCCAAGGGCGGCGUCACGGGGACGCCAGCAGCAGCAGUAGAAGCCGAAGCUGAAGCCGGAAGAGAAGCCGAGAUCACCAGAGAGCCCAGAUAAAGUGAAGAUUUGCUGGGGGCCGGAGGCCUGCCAGCCUCCCAACCCCCCAGCCAGCACCCCUGCCUGCCAUAUGCCUGGUGAACCCCAAUAAAAAACCUGCAAAGCCACUGAGGACUCUGACUCCUCCUUUACCCGGUCUGCAUGGGAUCAGAAAACCUGCGCUGUGCCCUGCUCCUGCCCUUACUCUCUCUAAAGAACCAAGUAAGGUGAGCCUUGUCCACGAUGUGCAGCCGACCCAGGGUGAGGCCCAGCUGGGCCUGACUCCCCUCGAGAACGCCUCUGCGCAGCAGGUCGUUCAGCUGCUUCAAGAAAUGCAGAACUCCGAGGAAGGCGUCACCAUUGGAAACAGCCCAUGCCUUCCCUUCUUCUACCAGGCUGACGACAACGAGGUGAAGAUAAUGGUGGUCUAGGCCACCGGCAUGGGGCCGGAGGCUCUGCCCCCACCUGGCCCUCACCAACCCAUCCCUGUUCCCCAGGCUUUCCC